CACGUAGGGCGCAAGCGUUGUCCGGAAUUAUUGGGCGUAAAGAGCUCGUAGGCGGUCUGUUACGUCUGCUGUGAAAACCCGGGGCUUAACCCUGGGCUUGCAGUGGAUACGGGCAGACUAGAGGCAGGUAGGGGAGAAUGGAAUUCCCGGUGUAGCGGUGAAAUGCGCAGAUAUCGGGAGGAACACCGGUGGCGAAGGCGGUUCUCUGGGCCUGACCUGACGCUGAGGCACGAAGGCCAGGGGAGCAAACGGG
rnacentral:rRNA from 1 species